rnacentral:misc_RNA from 1 species
GGAAUCUUCGGCAAUGGGGGCAACCCUGACCGAGCAACGCCGCGUGAGUGAAGAAGGUUUUCGGAUCGUAAAGCUCUGUUGUAAGUCAAGAACGAGUGUGAGAGUGGAAAGUUCACACUGUGACGGUAGCUUACCAGAAAGGGACGGCUAACUACGUGCCAGCAGCCGCGGUAAUACGUAGGUCCCGAGCGUUGUCCGGAUUUAUUGGGCGUAAAGCGAGCGCAGGCGGUUUGAUAAGUCUGAAGUUAAAGGCUGUGGCUCAACCAUAGUUCGCUUUGGAAACUGUCAAACUUGAGUGCAGAAGGGGAGAGUGGAAUUCCAUGUGUAGCGGUGAAAUGCGUAGAUAUAUGGAGGAACACCGGUGGCGAAAGCGGCUCUCUGGUCUGUAACUGACGCUGAGGCUCGAAAGCGUGGGGAGCGAACAGGA